UGGCGAACGGGUGAGUAACACGUGAGCAACCUGCCCUAUACAACGGGAUAACACAGAGAAAUUUGUGCUAAUACGGUAUAAGACCACAGUAUCGCAUGAUACAGGGGUAAAAGAUUUAUCGGUAUAGGAUGGGCUCGCGACCCAUUAGCUAGUUGGUGAGGUAACGGCCCACCAAGGCAACGAUGGGUAGCCGACCUGAGAGGGUGAUCGGCCACACUGGGACUGAGACACGGCCCAGACUCCUACGGAAGGCAGCAG
rnacentral:rRNA from 1 species